rnacentral:rRNA from 1 species
GAGGAAUAUUGCGCAAUGGGGGCAACCCUGACGCAGCGACGCCGCGUGAGUGAGGAAGGCCUUCGGGUCGUAAAGCUCUGUCAAGAGGAAAGAAGUGCAUAGCGGUUAAUACCCGUUGUGUUUGACGGUACCUCUAAAGGAAGCACCGGCUAACUCCGUGCCAGCAGCCGCGGUAAUACGGAGGGUGCAAGCGUUGUUCGGAAUCACUGGGCGUAAAGGGCGCGUAGGCGGUUUGAUAAGUCAGAUGUGAAAGCCCAUGGCUUAACUGUGGAAGUGCAUUUGAAACUGUCAGACUUGAGUACCAGAGGGGAAAGUGGAAUUCCCGGUGUAGAGGUGAAAUUCGUAGAUAUCGGGAGGAAUACCGGUGGCGAAGGCGACUUUCUGGCUGGAUACUGACGCUGAGGCGCGAAAGCGUGGGGAGCAAAC